CCUACGGGUGACAGCAGUGAGGAAUAUUGGUCAAUGGGCGAGAGCCUGAUCCAGCCAAGUCGCGUGAAGGAUGACGGCCCUACGGGUUGUAAACUUCUUCUGCCAGGGAGCAAUUGAGUCCACGUGUGGGCUUAGCGAGAGUUACUGACGUAAAAGCAUCGGCUAACUCCGUGCCAGCAGCCGCGGUAAUACGGGGGAUGCGAGCGUUAUCCGGAUUUAUUGGGUUUACAGGUUGCGUAGGCGGAAUCUCAGGUCAGCGGGAAAGAUUCGGGGCUCAACCCCGUCGUGCCGUUGAAACUGAUGGUCUUGAGUGGGCGAGAGGUAAGCGGAAUGCGUGGUGUAGCGGUGAAAUGCGUAGAUAUCACGCAGAACUCCGGUGGCGAAGGCAGCAUACCGGCGCCCAACUGACGCUGAAGCACGAAAGCGUGGGUAGCGAACAGGAUUAGAUACCCGAGUAGUC
rnacentral:rRNA from 1 species